CUACGGGGGGCAGCAGUGGGGAAUAUUGGACAAUGGGGGAAACCCUGAUCCAGCAAUGCCGCGUGUGUGAAGAAGGCCUGCGGGUUGUAAAGCACUUUCGGUUGGGAGGACUGCUUCUAGCACUAAUAUUGUUGGAAGUUGACGUUACCUUCAGAAGAAGCACCGGCUAACUCCGUGCCAGCAGCCGCGGGUAAUACGGAGGGUGCAAGCGUUAAUCGGAAUUACUGGGCGUAAAGCGCGCGUAGGCGGCUAGAUCAGUCGGGUGUGAAAGCCCCGGGCUUAACCUGGGAACUGCAUCCGAUACUGUCUAGCUUGAGUACAGGAGAGGAGAGUGGAAUUCCACAUGUAGCGGUGAAAUGCGUAGAUAUGUGGAGGAACACCAAUGGCGAAGGCAGCUCUCUGGCCUGAUACUGACGCUGAGGUGCGAAAGCGUGGGGAGCAAACAGGGUUAGAUACCCUCGUAGUC
rnacentral:rRNA from 1 species